GACGAGCGCUGGCGGCGUGCUUAACACAUGCAAGUCGAACGGAAAGGCCCUGCUUUUGUGGGGUGCUCGAGUGGCGAACGGGUGAGUAACACGUGAGUAUCCUGCCCUUGUCUUUGGGAUAACUUCAGGAAACAGGGGCUAUUACCCGAUAGGAUCUCCUGCUGCAUGGUGGGGGUUGGAAAGUUUCGGCCGUAGGGGAUGGACUCGCGGCUUCUCAGCUGCAUGGUGGGGUAGUGGCUGACCAAGGCUUUGAGGGGUAGCCGGCCUGAGAGGGGGACCGGGCACAUGGGGCCUGCGGGACGGACCAGACGCCUACGGGAGGCAACAGUGGGGAAUAUUGCAGAGUGGGCGGAAGCGAGAGGCGGCAACGCCGCGUGCGGGAUGACGGCCUUCGGGUUGUAAACCGAUGUCGACGGAGACGAAGCGUGAGUGACGGUAAUGGGUAAAGAAGCACCGGCUAACUACGUG
rnacentral:rRNA from 1 species